rnacentral:rRNA from 1 species
GACGAACGCUGGCGGCGUGCUUAACACAUGCAAGUCGAACGGAAAGGCCCUGCUUUUGUCUGGUGCUCGAGUGGCGAACGGGUGUGUAACACGGGAGUAACCUGCCCUUGGCUGUGGGAUAACUUCAGGAGACUGGUGCUAAUACCGGAUAGGUGCUCCAGCUGCAGGGGGGGGGUUGGAAAGCUUCGGCGGUAGUGGAUAGACUCGGGGCUAAUCAGCUGGUGGGGGGGGUAGUGGCAUACCAAGGCUUUGACGGGUAGCCGGCAUGAGAGGGUGAACAGCGACAUUGGGACUAAGAUAGGCCCCAGUGUCCAACGGGAGGCAGCAGUGGGGAACCUUGCACAGUGGGGGGAAGCCUGAUGCAGAAACGCUGCGUGCGGAAAGACCGCCUUCGGGUUGUAAACCGCUGUCGGCUGAGACGAAGCUUGAGUGACGGUAAUGGGUGAAGAAGCACCGGCUAACUACGUG